UCGACUUAUUAAUUAUACCUUAGUCCAAAAUAUAAAAAAUCGAAAAUUUCUCCCUUAUAUCCCAAAUACGAAACAAUAAUUCAUUUUGGUAGCUGAUUUUUUUAGUCAAUUGGGUUUUCUGUGUAACAUAUUGACAGACGAUGGGGGCUACUAUUCGCAGAGCCCAAAAUUCAAUGUGGAAUGAAUAGCCAACUCAACUCAAAUCAAUGAAUAGUCACUAAUUGUUUUGACAAGGAAACUUUUUUAUAUUCUCAUAAAAAAGUUUCUUUGCUUUUUGUAAUUUUGGCCGAUGGUGUUUUCUUGUUAUUCUAUUUUGUGUCAGCUGUUUGAUUUUUGCAGCCCCACAGAAAAAUAUUAAACCAUGCAAAAUUCGAACAGCAAUGUGCAUCGUCUAUGUUGUGAAACUUGCUUCAGAUGCAGUCAGAAGUUCAUUGGUGCCGAUGACAAAUGUACCCCAUUAUAUGAGACAACGCUAAAUUUUUCGAUCCUAUGGUUAGAGAGAAGUAUAUCAGCGUAUGCUUACAAUUGAUAUGUUGUAUACUAUUUAUGAAAUUACUGGCUUUGGAAAAUAUGAAUGGGGCGAGUAUUAUACAA